GGGCACCGGCGCAGGCUCGCUUUCCGGCGGUUGAGCCGGGCCGGGGCGCCAGCGCCCGCCUUCCCGUUUCCUCCCGUUCCGCAGCGCGCCCACGGCCUGUGACCCCGGCGAUCGCUCCUCAGUGACGAGAGAGCGGGGCCGGGCGCGGCUCCGGCCUGACCUGCGAAGGGACCUCGGUCCAGUCCCCUGUUGCCCCGCGCCUCCCGUUCGUCCGUGCGCGGGCCAGUCAAGGGCCAGUGUCUCGAGCGGUCGAGGUCGCAGACCUAGAGGCGUCCCACAGGCCGGCCCGGGGCGCUGGGAGCGCCGGCCGCGGGCCAGGUGGGGAUGCCCCUGCACGUGAAGUGGCCGUUCCCCGCGGUGCCGCCGCUCACCUGGACCCUAGCCAGCAGCGUCGUCAUGGGCUUGGUGGGCACCUACAGCUGCUUCUGGACCAAGUACAUGAACCACCUGACCGUGCACAACAAGGAGGUGCUGUACGAGCUCAUCGAGAACCGAGGCCCGGCCACGCCCCUCAUCACCGUGUCCAAUCACCAGUCCUGCAUGGACGACCCUCAUCUCUGGGGGAUCCUGAAACUCCGCCACAUCUGGAACCUGAAGUUGAUGCGUUGGUGAGGAGGAAUGGGUCCCUCGAAGUGGGCCGGGCCGGCCCCACCUGCCUCUGCCCAGAUUUGCCCUCCUCCUGCUCUGCCCAGGAGGACCCCUGCAGCUGCAGACAUCUGCUUCACCAAGGAGCUACACUCCCACUUCUUCAGCUUGGGCAAGUGUGUGCCUGUGUGCCGAGGAGAUGGCGUCUACCAGAAGGGGAUGGACUUCAUUUUGGAGAAGCUCAACCAUGGGGACUGGGUGCAUAUCUUCCCAGAAGGUCAGCAGGGCUGACUGGGUCGAGCCCCCCCAGUAUGAGCGGGAUGGGCUCCCAAGCCUCGCCUCUGUGCUCUCUCACCAGGGAAAGUGAACAUGAGUUCCGAAUUCCUGCGUUUCAAGUGGGGUAAGGGCUGCUGGUCUCUGGCCACAGCCAUCCUCCCGGCCCAGAGAUGGCCCUGUGGGCCCCUGGCUCCCGCCCCCUCGGGCUGGGUUGUAUGGGGGUAGAUGGGCAUGUUGUAGCGCCAGGAAGGGGACAGGUGCUGAGACUAGGGCCUGCCUCUCGCAGGGGCUUGCCCAAGGGAGCUGAAUUGAACUGGAGGAUGUCGGGGGUGGCACUGGCCAGAGGCUGGCACAGAAGCUUGGCUCAGGGCCCAGCUUAUGCUAACAUUUCUACCUCCCCACCGGGCAGGAAUCGGGCGCCUGAUUGCUGAGUGUCAUCUCAACCCCAUCAUCCUGCCCCUGUGGCAUGUCGGAAUGAAUGACGUCCUUCCUAACAGUCCGCCCUACUUCCCCCGCUUUGGACAGAAAAUCACCGUGCUGAUCGGGAAGCCCUUCAGUGCCCUGCCUGUACUCGAGCGGCUCCGGGCGGAGAACAAGUCAGCUGUGGAGAUGCGGAAAGCCCUGACGGACUUCAUUCAAGAGGAAUUCCAGCGUCUGAAGACCCAGGCAGAGCAGCUCCACAACCACCUCCAGCCUGGGAGAUAGGCCUUGCUUGCUGCCUUCUGGAUUCUUGGCCUGCACAGAGCUGGGGCUGAGGGAUGGACUGAUGCUUUUAGCUCAAAUGUGGCUUUUAGACAGAUUUGUUCAUAGACCCUCUCAAGUGCCCUCUCCGAGCCGGUAGGCAUUCCAGCUCCUCCGUGCUUCCUCAGUUAAACGAAGGACCUCAGCUGCCUCUCCCACUUGGCCAAGCAGGGAGGAAGAAGCUUAGGCAGGGCCCUCUUUCCUUCUUGCCUUCAGACGUUCUCUCCCAGGGGCUGGCAUCAGGAGGGAGCAUAGAAGGCAGGUGAGCAACCAGUUGGCUAGGGGAGCGGGGGGCCCACCAGAGCUGUGGAGAGGCGACCCUAAGACUCCUCGGCCUGGCUUCUACCCACCGCCCUUGCCAAACCAGGAGCUGCUCACGACCUCCUCAGGGAUGGCCAUUGGCCACGUCUUCCUUCUGCCUGAGCUUCCCCCCGCCACAGACCCUUUCCUCGGGCAAGGUCUGGCCUCAGGUGGGCCGCAGGCGGGAAGAGCAGCCCUUGGCCAGAGGUCAAGCCCAGCCACGUGGAGCCUAGAGUGAGGGCCUGAGGUCUGGCUGCUUGCCCCCAUGCUGGGGCCAACGACUUCUCCAUCCUUUCUGCCUCUCAACAUCACUUGAGUCCUAGGGCCUGGGUUUUCAUGUUUUUGAGACAGAACCAUAAAGCAUAUGUGUUGGCUUGUUGUAAAA